GGGAAGCUCCGGCGGUCUCUCGGUUGAGCAUUCACACUGCAGGGGUCGCAAGUUCGAAACUUGCACUUCCCACCA
rnacentral:tRNA from 1 species